rnacentral:rRNA from 1 species
AUUGAACGCUGGCGGCAGGCUUAACACAUGCAAGUCGAGCGGGGGAAGGUAGCUUGCUACCUAACCUAGCGGCGGACGGGUGAGUAAUGCUUAAGAAUCUGCCUAUUAGUGGGGGACAACAUUUCGAAAGGGAUGCUAAUACCGCAUACGCCCUAAGGGGGAAAGCAGGGGAUCUUCGGACCUUGCGCUAAUAGAUGAGCCUAAGUCGGAUUAGCUAGUUGGUGGGGUAAAGGCCUACCAAGGCGACGAUCUGUAGCGGGUCUGAGAGGAUGAUCCGCCACACUGGGACUGAGACACGGCCCAGACUCCUACGGGAGGCAGCAGUGGGGAAUAUUGGACAAUGGGGGGAACCCUGAUCCAGCCAUGCCGCGUGUGUGAAGAAGGCCUUUUGGUUGUAAAGCACUUUAAGCGAGGAGGAGGCUACCGAGAUUAAUACUCUUGGAUAGUGGACGUUACUCGCAGAAUAAGCACCGGCUAACUCUGUGCCAGCAGCCGCUGUAACAC